rnacentral:rRNA from 1 species
UACGUAGGGUGCGAGCGUUGUCCGGAAUUAUUGGGCGUAAAGAGCUCGUAGGCGGUUUGUUACGUCGGCCGUGAAAACCUGCAGCUUAACUGUGGGCGUGCGGUCGAUACGGGCAUCACUGGAGUUCGGCAGGGGAGACUGGAACUCCUGGUGUAGCGGUGAAAUGCGCAGAUAUCAGGAGGAACACCGGUGGCGAAGGCGGGUCUCUGGGCCGAAACUGACGCUGAGGAGCGAAAGCGUGGGGAGCGAACAGG